UUUUUUUUUUUUUUUUAUUUUUCUUUCUUUUUGAGACGGAGUCUUGCUCUGUCGUCCAGGCUGGAGUGCAGUGGGGCGAUCUCGGCUCACUGCAACCUCUGCCUCCUGGGUUCAAGCGAUUCUCCUGCCUCAGCCUCCUGAGUAGCUGGGAUUACAGGCUCAUGACACCACACUUGGCUAAUUUUUGUAUUUUUAGUAGAGAUGGAGUUUCACCGUGUUGGUCAGGCUGGUCUCAAUCUCCUGACCUCGUUUUCCACCCACCUCGGCCUCCAAAGCGCUGGGAUUACAGGCGUGAGCCACCGCGCCCGGCUCCCUGGACUAAUUUUUAAAGUACAUUUGGUCAGUCUGAAACAGCUUAUGGUGGAACAAAAAACUGAACUCACCUUCAGGACUUUACUGUGGGUCGGGGAGGAGGAUAGUAGUAGGGAAUAGAGAAAGAGAUGACAGAACCUAGAGCUGGUGAGCCCAGGUUAGAGGCUGGUCCAGGACACACACCUGUUGGUCUCUGGCUGCGUAUCCCCAAGCAGAGGGAAGAUGCUGAGAUGUGAAAGGCCUCACAUGCGCCCUCCUUCACAUGCUUGUGUGCACUGUGGAGGAGGGCAGCAGGGAGUCUGGGACUGUGUCACAGGGGAAGGAAUGUAACCUCGCAGUCCUAGCCAUAAAGUAUUUUAGCUCAUUUCUGUCCCCAGAGCAUGCACUGAGCAGUAAUGAAUGCCCAAAGACGGAAACAAGGAGGUGGGUGGAGGCCCAGCAUUCUCUCUUUCAGGUCAGUGAGAGUAAGGCAUUUAGCAGAGGCCAUGGGCACUUUGGGAAUUAGCCACAUGAACCUAGGCAGGUCACUCACCACUGAGUUGACUUAUCGCAAAGGGAGAUGAGAACAUAACUGUAAACAUCUGGAUACUUCCUAUUUGCACAGUACUGUGCUUAGUAACUCUAUAUACAGCAACUCAUUUAACUCCCCAAAACCCUGUGAGGUAGAUUCUAAUACUACCUGGGUAAUUCUACUGUGGUGUUGUUCCAGGGGUUAAUUUAGAGCCGCAUUCUCUACACUGUAAAGUACUGUGCCACUGAGUGAGCCUCUUCACAGCUCACCUCAGACUGGGCUGAAGAAAAGGAUCUCUUCAGGCUAACACAAGAAAGGCAAGUCAGCACAGAAUCCCGCUGAAUGGUCCUCUCUAGGGAACUCCCUUACAGAGAAUGCUGUCCCUGGUUAGGAUUCUAGAGGAGCUAGAAGUAAGUGUAAAUGGGGCAAGUUGCAUGGAAAUCCCAGCUUUCUCCUCACCUGUGCAGGUGUCGGGCACUGCUUCCCUGUGCCUUGAGUCCUGUGGGUUGGAGCCCAUCUCUGGCUCCAGAUGGCCUUCUCUCUUGUUUGUGUCCUGUGGAUUAGAGCCCAUUUCUCUUUCUUCUGGGUCCCCUUCCCUGUCCUCAGAGUCCUCAAAAUCGGAACCCAUCCCUUUGUCUUCUGAGUCCUGGUGUGCACAGACACCCUGAUUAUCUUCUUGUUUCAUCCAGGAAGAAAAGGGCAAGGGAGGUGACCAGGAAUCCCUGCUCCAGAAAAACACAAAGAAAGGUCAUGUCAGUCUGGUCUCAUCCCCUCACCACGUCUAGCCUUAAUUUCCAAGUCGAAUAAAAUGUAUAGAGUUCCAAGCCCCAGAUGGCAAACCUCCACUUCAGUCCACAUUUUAAAGUAAACAAGUGAGUGCAAAG
ensembl:lncRNA